rnacentral:tRNA from 1 species
GAGGGAAUAGCUUAGUGGUAGAGCACAUGCUUAUUUAGCAUGCACAAGUCCUGGGUUCCAUCCUCAGUACCUCUG